UGAGCGACCUGCACGCCUACAAGCUGCGUGUGGACCCUGUCAACUUCAAGCUCCUGAGCCACUGCCUGCUGGUGACUCUGGCCAGCCACAACCCCUCUGAGUUCACCCCUGCCAUCCAUGCCUCCCUGGACAAGUUCCUGGCCUCCGUGAGCACCGUGCUGACCUCCAAAUACCGUUAAGCUGGAGCCACGCCUAUCCCUACCCUGGGCUGGGGCCCCUUUGUGCUCUGGGCACCCUCACUUCCUGAUCUUUCAAUAAAGUCUGAGUGGGCUGCAACCUG